AAGAAAGUGACAGAUUGGGAUGUGUCUGGCUUGAAACCAGAUAAUGGGGGUUCAAUUCCCUCCUUUCUUG
rnacentral:tRNA from 1 species